rnacentral:tRNA from 1 species
UACCUUAUAUUCAAUGAUGAUUUUAAAUUGCAAAUUUAAAGGUGAAUUUACUUCUAAGGGGU